GAUUUAGAGAAACAACAAAGGAUAGUGCUGUGCCCUGGGAGCUGUUACCUCCCCUUGCCCGGAGGUGAGGGGAGGGAGAAGAUACCCCCAGGUAGAGAGGACAGUGGAAUGAUAAGGACCGCCCACGGGAGCAGUGCCAUUCGCUAGAUGGACGCAGCCAACCAGGAGCAGCUCAGCAGAAAGGGAACUGGAAGAAUAAAUAUUCCGAGCUCACCCUCCAUCCCUCUGCCUGACACCGUGGGUACCUCCCCCUGGCCAACCCCAGCUGGAAGCCAGGGUGGAGGGGGGCCGGUGAGGCAGUCCUUGCAGGCCAGCCUCGCAGGGCUCAGCGCUGAACGGGGAAGGGCGGAGGGCCAACAGCAAGCACCCGGCAUGUCCCUCUACCAUGGCGUAUUCCAGAGGACCACACUCCCGGGGAAGGGUUGGCAAGCCCAGGCCUCCACGUGCCCUCCCUCUCCCCCUCCACCCCACGUGCAAAUGAACUCCACAACUAAAGCUCUUGCAGAUAUCCCCCACACGGACCACAAGGUGAGGAGACCCCCGCUGCACCAGCCUCUUUAUCGAAGAAUAACCUUGGUGCUUCUUGCUGGAAGAUGCUGCCCGUGAGGAACCGGAGACUAAGAGCUUGCAGUGUGGAACUAGAGAUGUCCCACAAGUGACUGGACAGAGGAUAGAAGUUCCCAGCCUCCAGAGUGGAGCAUCCAUCAGCAUAGGCCCUUACAUCACAGCCCGGAUCCAUCUGGAAUGCUCUCCAGCACACCUCCACCUGCAUGUGUUCUUACCUUCCUUCAAAGGCCAGCUCAACUGCCACCAUCUCCGAGAAGUCCACCUAGAUCCUGUGCAUGCUUCAAGUCAUUUUGGAGGGUGCCCAAAUGUUGCCUGAUUUGUCUCCUAUUAGAGUUAGCUGUGAGGUAUCUGCCUCCCGACCUAGAAUAAGAGUUCCUCGGGGGCAGGAACUUCAUCUCCUUCCCCUCUGUGUCCCUCCCUUGCUCCUAACAGGGGACUUCGCAGGCUGUAUAAGUUUAUUGAAUUGAAUGAAAGUGGAUAAUUCAAAAUGGGUUAUUUGAAAUGCCUGAGCUCAGCUAUACUCCUCACAGAGAAGCUAAAUGUAUCUUGCUCACAUUGUGAAUGUCCACACCGUAUUCUGGACUUUGGACUGGAUCUGUCCUGCAAACUUAGUCUCAGCUCAGAGAAGUUGGAAGCUUAUUAAAAUAGUUCAGCAAGAUGUCCCUGAGCCUCCCAUGCUCGGUGCUCCAUCCCUGAAGUAUUCUUGGUCAAAUCAGGCUCUUAUCGGUCAAGGACAGUUACUUUCGUGCCUUCCCAUCCUCGCCCUGCACACACACACACCAAAGACAUGGGCAAGUUUAAAUCUUUUCUUAUAAGGAAAGCUUCGGAGAAGAUCCUCUGUGGCAGGAGAUAUUAGUGGCUUGAGGACAAUUCCUGUCUAACUGAACGGGAGUGAUUAAAGCACUUUUUGGUGUUCAGCAGAUUCAUGGUGCCACAAAACAUUGUCUGGGCAGACAGCGAGACCCAUUGGGCCUCUGCGGCUAGGACUGGCUUCUGUUGCAAUGAAACAGAGCUUCCGGCCGGACUGUAAUUUGGGAUGCACAAGGAGGCAUCUGAAUAUUAGAACAACUUUCUUCUCUUCACAUUUGUCUUGAGGGCUCUCCAAUCCUGAGACCUACGAUUCUUCCCUCCUUUGCUUCCUGGGAGCCUAGCCCAACUUUUGGGCUGGGGGUUCCAAAGUGAUUACGUGGCAGCCCUAGGUUGCUCAUGGUCCAGUAGAGGCAAGCCACCAAGCACACAGUAAUCUGAGCACCCAGGGGUGGCAAGGGAGGGAGCUCUUCCGCCUCUUGUCUCCACCAGUCCUCCACCUUUCUCUUUUUCUGGGCCUUUCUUUGAUAUGGACAAGCGACAUUUUCUCCAUCGUAGUGAAGCCAUGACUUGAAGGCCCGGUUGCAAUAUGACGUUGCCCCAAAGACUCUUCUUACAGUGUGGUCUUCCCCUUAUCUGCGGGGGACACGUUCCAAGACCCCCAGUGGAU
ensembl:lncRNA